UUGGGGUGGUGAAACCCAUCAUAGCAUUGGAAGAAUUAGUGAGAUAGAGAAUGAUGGUCUGCUGAUAAUUGAAAUUCCCAAUCGACCUAUUCCAUGGCAGGCUGAUCCUUCUGACAUGGAAAAGGUCGAGGAUUUCAAGGUAUUAUCUGCAUAAUUUGUUUUUCUGUUUUGAAACAUGAAUAUACAGGAUGACAGUUUUUACUGCCAAUAUUCAAUAUAAUUUUAUCAGGUAAGAGAUUGGGUUAGAGUAAAGGCAUCUGUUUCUUCCCCAAAAUAUGGGUGGGAGGACGUAACGAGGAACAGCAUCGGUGUAAUUCAUUGUUUGGAGGAGGAUGGUGAUAUGGAAGUCGCAUUUUGCUUCAAGAGCAAACUUUUCCGCUGUUCUGCGACAGAUGUGGAGAAGGUUCCCCAUUUUGAAGUGGGACAAGAGAUACACGUGAUGCCUUCUGUUACAAUGCCCAGGCUUGGAUGGUCCAGUGAGACACCUGCUACUGUUGGAAAAAUUGCAAGGAUCGACAUGGAUGGUUCUUUAAAUGUAAGCUGGUUCUCUUUUUGGUUGCUUAUCUUGCAUUAGGUUUAGGAAGGGACCUCAACUAUGAUAAUGAUCUACCAGAUUAUUUCCAAUUCAUUGUCCAGUUUGGUAGGAUGUUACUGAUUAAGAAUUAAGGAAUUAGGGUUCCUCAAUGAUAAUUGUAUGCCGUGUACUCUCGUUUAGAACACAAAUUAGGAUGGCAUUUUGAUACAAGCUAUUAAGUCAAAACUUUUUUCUCCUGCUAAUGAUAUAAUUAAUCAGCAAAGAAAAUAUUGUAUCAUCAAUGUGCAACUGUAUGUGCAGUAUGUGGUUAAUUUCAUUGUCGUGGCUAAAGACUUUUGCAUGGUUCUAUAUUGCUUAGGUAUCAAAAUGGAGACUGGGUGAAAUUUAGAAGAAGCAUUACAACACCAACAUAUGGUUGGCAAGGUGCAACAGAGAGGAGUGUUGGUUUUGUACAAAGUGUCCCAGACAACAACAAUCUCAUUGUGUCCUUUUGCACUGGAGAAGCCAAGGUACUGGUAAUUGAAGUCAUAAAGGUAAUUCCACUUGACAGAGGACAGCAUGUGCAACUUAAGCCAGAUGUCAAAGAGCCAAAGUACGUCCCGUCUAUUAUCAAGACAUUAUCUUUAGGCAUACUAGUUUUUUAUUAGGUUAACAUUGGUUCCACGAUGUAUGUCUCAUCUUUGUUGUCAUACUAUUGGGUUUUUUAAACUCUUAGCUUUUAAAUCUUGUUCUGCUUCAUAAUUGCAUCAUUAUGCUGUUCUUGUAGUUACUGUAUUCUUAAAAUUUCCUUCUCUCCAUCCAGUCACUUUUCUUUUAUGAUGAUCAAUGCAAUAAUUUCAGGACUUCUAAAAAUGAUACCAAACUGGGUGACGCUUUAAUUAGACUUGUUUCACAUUCUGGUUUCAUUAAUCAUAUUGAGUUUUCAGAGGCAAGGCUAGAAAUGCAUCUGAGAAUUAGAGUUUUCUGAGGAUUUUAUGUUCUACCAUAAACUUUACUUGCACAUGGAAAUUAGGUGUCUAAGACGUAGAUGUCUGCUUAGGGAAUGAGAUUUUAUCUUGGAAACGAAAAAUAUUAAUUCACAAUCUUGUAUAGAAGGUUCUAUUGCUUGGGUGCCAAGUAUGGGGCUAGUUCAUUCUUUUCUUCACUAUUAAUCAACUGUAAAAACACCAGGAAACAUGAAUUGAAGAUUCAGGUGCUCUUAGAAUUUCUAAGGUGCUGGGACCUGAUAUAAACAAUGGGCAGAACAGCCAGGCAAGAAAAAAUGUCAACCAGAUAUGGCCUGGCUGCUUUUUUAUUGGACUGCAAGAGUUGUUUAUUUUUAUCUCUACUUUUUUUUCACCCAUACUAGGUAUUUGUAUGUAUCCAGAUUUCGUUCUUUCACUAUGAGUUCACUACAUCGAAGUCGUUCUAUCUAGUUCUUUUUAUUGAUAGUUUCGAUGAAUGAAAAAAUGAAACAAAAAAUCCCAUGAAUUUAUUUAUUUAUUUAUUUUUCUGGUCAUUUGUUUUACAAUGAAAGAGGUCUUUCUUCAAGUAAAAAAUUGAAUUUUAAUGCAAACUCUGAGAAUUAAAUAUUGUAGUGAUUUACCACAUCAGUUCAAACGAUUUUUUUCUCUCAUAUGCACUGUACACUUUCUAUUCGUACUCAGUUUUUUGAAUCUUUUUGAAUUGAAUUAGAUGUUAAUGUAAAUGAACCAUAAAUAUGUAGCCCUAUUCCUAAUAGAUUGACCCGAAAAAUAGAAUGACUAGUAGGUAGAGGGCACGACCUAUUUUAGCGGUACUGCCAUUGCACUUCUUUUGGUUUUUGGGGGCAUUUCCACUAAUACAUCAAUUGAAAUCACGGUAGCUGUACCACUGAAAAAAUUGGUACCACCUUCCUACUGAGUGUUCCCCCUCUCCUUUCUCCUUUGGGGACUGUGGCUGGUGGCAAUAAUUGCCAUUGUAGCAAACUUUUAUUCUGUUCACACCAGUGCAAUUCAAUUUAGUAUUGUGAAUCACCUGCAAUCAAGAAUCAGAGUGAGUCUUGUUGGAGAUGAUGUUUUCUUCCUAUUUGCUGCAAUCAAUUAAUUGUUUUCAGAUUUUUCAUAUAAAAAAUAGCUAAAUUUUUUAUUCUGUGCUUAAUUUGAAACCUUGUUUACAGUUUCAAAUUUUUUGGAUUAAUAAUUUGAAAAUAGUAUCUUAAUGUCCCUUGUAAAAAUUGAUAAUUGAUGCUUCACCGAAGUGUAGAAAAUAAAUUUUGGAUCUUAUUAUGAAAAGAGUAAAAACAAUACAAACAGUGAUAACUGAUGAAUGUCUACCAUCAUCUAAUGUUCCUGUUGAUGAAUAAUAGAGCCAUUUGCUUGGUUGUAGACCAAAUCUCUUUUUAAUUACACCGUUGAAAAGAGAACUACAUGCUGACAAAAAAUGGAGAGCAUUUAUCCUCAAUUGAAAUGUUCCUAUACACAUUACCUUACCCAACACACACACAGUUUGCCUUCAUAACAAUCUAAUUUACCAAAUCAUCUUAAAGUUAGAAUUCACUCAGAGAUGUAGAUCCCCUGGACGCACUAAGAAACAGACUUCAUCCAAAGGAAAUUCUUGUGUCACAAUGAGAUUUCAAAGAAUUUCUCAUUCUCAAGUAGUUUAUCUUGCAGCAAUUUUGGUUUAAACAUUAUGGAUUUUUGCUGCAAGCUUAAAUUGUGGCCCUUUGAGUAAACACGAUGAUACCAAAUAUUCUUAUAUGGCACAAUAAUUAGUUUUGUGUUUCUGCAGAUUCGGUUGGCGUGGUCAAUCGCGUGACAGCAUUGGAACAGUUCUUUGUGUUGAUGAUGAUGGAAUUCUGCGUGUCGGUUUUCCUGGAGCAUCCAGAGGAUGGAAAGCUGAUCCUGCGGAAAUGGAAAGAGUUGAAGAAUUCAAGGUUGGGGACUGGGUUCGCAUACGGCCCACACUGACUACAGCGAAACACGGAUUAGGAUCUGUAACUCCAGGAAGCAUUGGUGUAGUGUACUGUAUUAGACCAGAUAGUAGUCUUUUACUGGAACUAAGCUAUCUUCCAGCUCCAUGGCAUUGUGAACCUGAGGAGGUUGAACAUGUUGAGCCAUUUAGGGUAAGGGAAUUUACUAUAGCAUGAAGGAGGUUGAAUAUGUCAAAUUCUUGUUCUUUGUUCUUUUUUCCCUCCUCAUUUUUACACUUUAGGUCUUUUCUACCAUAUAUAAUUCUGUUGCUUUUACAGAUUGGUGACCGGGUUUGUGUAAAGCGCUCUGUUGCUGAGCCAAGAUAUGCUUGGGGUGGUGAAACCCAUCAUAGCAUUGGAAGAAUUAGUGAGAUAGAGAAUGAUGGUCUGCUGAUAAUUGAAAUUCCCAAUCGACCUAUUCCAUGGCAGGCUGAUCCUUCUGACAUGGAAAAGGUCGAGGAUUUCAAGGUAUUAUCUGCAUAAUUUGUUUUUCUGUUUUGAAACAUGAAUAUACAGGAUGACAGUUUUUACUGCCAAUAUUCAAUAUAAUUUUAUCAGGUAAGAGAUUGGGUUAGAGUAAAGGCAUCUGUUUCUUCCCCAAAAUAUGGGUGGGAGGACGUAACGAGGAACAGCAUCGGUGUAAUUCAUUGUUUGGAGGAGGAUGGUGAUAUGGAAGUCGCAUUUUGCUUCAAGAGCAAACUUUUCCGCUGUUCUGCGACAGAUGUGGAGAAGGUUCCCCAUUUUGAAGUGGGACAAGAGAUACACGUGAUGCCUUCUGUUACAAUGCCCAGGCUUGGAUGGUCCAGUGAGACACCUGCUACUGUUGGAAAAAUUGCAAGGAUCGACAUGGAUGGUUCUUUAAAUGUAAGCUGGUUCUCUUUUUGGUUGCUUAUCUUGCAUUAGGUUUAGG
rnacentral:lncRNA from 1 species